UUUAGAGUGGAACGUCAAUUUUCAAGCUAUUCUUAUUGACAUAAGGAAAAGUAUUUUGCUUGGUCAUAUAGAAAUAAUAUUUGUAAGAUACACAUAUCGUAACUAUGUCACGUGCUUGGGGAAUUUGGGAACUAGAGGAAGAUCGCAGGAAGUAGGGGUGCUCUACGGGAGGACGAGGCUUGUAACCUCGUCGCCCCGUGGCAGGCCUGGGCGCAGGGGAAAAUAGGGUUUAGGUUUUGAUUGCUUACUUUAUUGAUUGACUAGGGGGGACUAUAAAUAGUCCUUACAAACUUGGAGAACAAGCUAGACUCUUACAGAAUUGGAAUAGGACUCCUAAUCAGACUCGUAAUCAGAUUAGAAAUAGUAGGGAAAACCUUCUACGGGACGAAACCUUUCUAUCUAUAAUCUGGACUCUUAAUUACUCAAAUUAACUAAGCUGACCCAGACAGUGGGUCCUUCUCUACCCUAGGUGGCCGGCGUCUAUACGUGCGCCCCCACAUGACAUCUCCCCCUCCAUUCUGAAACAGCUCGUCCUCGAGCUAAAAAGCUGGGUAGCGCUCCUUGAAGGCGGGACCAUCCUCCCAGGAAGCUGCUGAAGCCGGCUGUCCUGCCCACUGGAUGAGGACCUACUGUACACUGCGGGCAAGGCGAGCACGCAAGGCUUUAGUUGGUGUAGGCUGGACGCGUCCUUGAAACAUAGCGGGCGGUACAGGCGGCGCAUCAGGCGGAGGCCCAUGAUACUUCUUCAAAAGGCCAACAUGGAAGACAUCAUGAAUACGAGCACGAGACGGCAGCUCCAAGCGAUAAGCCACCGAAUCAAUCUUCCCAAUGACUUUGUAUGGACCAUAAAAUUUUGGUGCCAGCUUGCCCUUUGCUCCGGUGCCCAGGAAGGCUGCUGGACGGUGGUGUAGGCGCAGCCAAGCCCACUCGCCGACGUCAAAGGAAAGCAACCGAUGCUUGCCAUCAUAAUAGUGCUUGUAGUGCUGGGCAGCCUGGACAAGACGCUCACGAACGUCAAUAAAAAACUUGUCACGGUCGGCAAUAGACCACACGGAUAGGCGUGUCCUUCAGGGCGGUGUGGAAGGAAGUAUUGUAGCAAUAUUCCGCCCAAGGGAGCCAAUGAAGCCACUGCCGAGGACGGUCGCCGGCAGCGCAAAUACAUGCCAAUGACCCGAUUGACCGCCUCCGACUGGCCAUCCGAUUGAGGGUGAAAUGCCGAACUCAAUGCAAGCGAGAGGCGGAAGCUGCAAAUAGGGCUUUCCAAAAUCCAGAAGUGAAAACCACGUCACGGUCCGAGACGAUGGAGGCCGGAACCCCGUGGAGGCGAACAAUGUCGACAAAGAAAGCCUUGGCCACUGACUCGGCUGUGUAGGGAUGCACCAAUGGAAUAAAGUGGGCAUACUUGGCGAAACGGUCGACGACGGUGAGGAUGACACUCUUGCCACCCACCUUUGGCAGCCCUUCGAUGAAGUCCAUGGAGAUAUCUUCCCAAACACGGGAUGGCACCACUAAGGGCUGACGUAGGCCAGCCGGAUGGAGCUGCUCUGUCUUGUUGCGCUGACAUUGUGCAUGCACAAAUGUAGUCCUGUAGAGCAGCGCGGGCCUGCGGAAGGUGGAAGUCGCUGCGAAGCCGGUGAAGUGAUUUUUGAAUGCCUUCAUGGCCCUCGUCAUGUCCUGCCAGCAGAACACUGGCCACCAAUGGAGACGACGGAGGGACAUAAGCGCGGCGCUCAAAGGUGACCAGUCCAUCCACGAGGGCCCAAGGGGACCCUAACUCGCUGGCCUCCAACGGCUCACGCAAGGCGACAAGAGCAGGGUCAGUAUGGGCUGCUUGGCGAAGAGUGUCGAAGAGGUCGAAGGCGGGACCCAUGAUGGCACAUGCACUAGCGUCGGAGAAGUCGCGCCGAGAAAGAGCGUCAGCCACCGUGUUAAGGCGGCCAGGCUUGUACUCGACGGUGAACUCAAACCCCAGAAGCUUGCCAACCCAAUGAUGUUGGGGUAUGGUCACCAAGCGUUGGUCGAGGAGGAACUUGAGGCUGUAGUGGUCUGUCUUGACGACGAAGGAGCGUCCCCAUAGGUACGGCCGCCAAUGCCGAACUGCCUGGACCAGGCCAAUGAGCUCACGCUCGUAGGCUGCCAGGGACGCAUGACGAGGAGCGAUCGGCCGGCUGAAAUACGCAGUAGGGCCUGCGCCUUGGUGUAGCACGGCGCCGAACCCUGAGCCUGAGGCGUCACACUCCACGGUGAACGGGAUGGUGAAGUCGGGAAGCUGCAGCACGGGCACCGUGGUGAGCGCGGUCUUCAACUGAAGGAAUGCCCCCUCAGCCUCCUCCGACCAGAGAAACCCGUCCUUCAACAACGCCGUGAGGGGCGCCGCAAUGACACCAAAGUCACGGAUGAACUUGCGGUAAUAGCCCGGAAACCCCAGGAAGCCACGGACUGCAUGAACGGACCGUGGCGUGGCCCAAUCGAUGACGGCCAGCACCUUCUGGCCAUCCAUGGCGACGCCAUCUGCGGAGAUAACAUGGCCGAGGUACGCCACCGAUUCCUCCCCAAAGGCACACUUGGAGCGCUUGAGGUAGAGCUGGUGUUGCCGCAUGAGCUCCAGGACAGCCUUGACGUGGCAGAUGUGGUCUGACCAAGACGAGUUGUACACCAAAAUAUCAUCAAAAAACACCAGCACGAAUUGGCGUAAAAAAGGACGAAGGACGUCGUUCAUCAAAGCCUGGAAAGUUGCCGGAGCGUUCGUGAGGCCAAAGGCCAUGACGAGAAACUCAAAGAGGCCUUCAUGGGUGCGGAACGCGGUCUUGUGGACGUCCUCCGGGCACAUGCGCACUUGGUGGUAGCCAGAGCGCAAAUCCAACUUGGUGAACAAGCGGGCGCCCUUAAGCUCAUCGAGUAGUUCAUCGACGACGGGGAUGGGAAACUUGUCUUUGACAAUGUUGGUGUUGAGGGCGCGGUAGUCGACGCAGAAACGCCAAGACCCGUCGCUCUUUGGGACGAGCACUGGGGAAGAGAACUCCGAGGUGCUGCGUCGAAUCAGCCCACGUUCCAGCAUGUCUGCACAUUGCCUCUCGAGCUCGUCCUUCUGGGCAGCAGGGUAGCAGUAUGGGCGGACAGCUACCGGAGCGGCUCCCGGUACCAAACGAAUGCGGUGGUCAUGGGCGCGGGACGGCGGCAGCCCCUUGGGCUCGGCGAAAACGUCCGAGAAGUUGGCGAGGAGGUUGUCAAGGAGGUCACGAGCCGUGCUGACUUGGACAUGGUGGAGGUGGCCCGUGGCUGAGAGGCCGUACCACUCGACGCGAUGAUCUGUCCGCCAAAAGGACAUGUAGAGCCGCUCAAAGUCCCAUAGGAUCGGUCCAAGAGUCUUGAGCCAGCGAGUCCCUAAGACGACAUCGAAGCCGCCCAAUGGGAUGGCAUACAGGUCCACCACAAAGCUCUCUUGACCGAUGGCGAUGGCAGUGUGUCGAAGCAGCCCGCCGCAGGUGACGUGGUCGCCAUUGGCGACGGUCACCCGGAGUCGACGACCAGUAGAGAACGGGGCGCCAACGUGUGCUGCUAACUCCUCGCUGAUGAAGUUGUGGGUGCUGCCCGAGUCGAUGAGGGCGAGGAGCUCACGCUCCCCAACCCACACCACCAGUUGCAUGGUGUCACUGGUGCGGAUGCCGGUGAUGGCGAGGAGUGAGAUUUGGAGGUCCUCCUCAUCCUCCUCCUCCUCGUCGGCGACCUCGAUAUAAAAUAAGCGCUUGCAGCGAUGCCCACGGACAUAUUUCUCAUCACAAUUGAAGCACAGCCCCUUGGCCCGCCGUUCCUCCAUCUCGGCGGCGUUCAGCUUCUUGAAGACGGGUGCUGCUCCUGGGAUCGCAUCGGUAGCGACAACCUCGGCAGUAUUGGACGGAUGCGGCGGCCUGUUUGAGCGUGUGGGGACUGCUGCCGCAGUUACGGAGGCAAGAUGCUCGAAGGAGACAGCCAUGUUCAUGGCAGCCUCGAGAGUGGUCGGGCGAAGCAUCUCGACCUGGGUUUUGAGAGGCUCGCCGAGAUUCUUGGUGAAGAUGUUGCGGUCCGCUUCGUCCGGGAUCCGCUUGACGCGGGACACCAAUUGUAGGAACUGCCUGGUGUAGUCAGCCACCGAGCCAGUGCGCCUCAGGGAAAUCAGCUCGCCGAAGGGGUUGGCGCGUGUAGGAGGGCCGAAGUGCUGGGAGAUGAGGUCGACGAAUUCUGUCCAAGAAGGCCGCCCCAUCUUCUCUUCCAGAUGGCCAUACCAGAGGGCAGCGACAUCCGUGAGAUGGUAGGACGCCAGCCAGGUCUUGUCAGUGGCCGGAGUCCGCUGUCCGAUGAAGAAGAGAUUGCAUCUCGUCAACCAAGGUCGAGGGUCACCGGUGCCGUUGUAGGUGGGAAAAUCGAGCUUGUAGAGGCGAGGUGGCCGGUCUUCUCCUGCCCCAAGCGGCGCGGUCGGGCGGCGAAAGGUGCCAUGAUGCGCGGCUGCCCGCGGCGAAUCCUCUGCGUCAAAGGAGGGACCACCAUGGCGGUCACGUUCCAGCUGAGUGAUGGCCAAAUUUUGCGCCCGUUGCUGCUAAGAUAGAUCAUCGUAGUUCAGUUGCAUCUUCCGCAAAGUUUCGUCGAGGGCGUCAAGGGUCGAUGUAACGUCAUUGCGGAGGAGUUCGAUGCCCUCGGCGACUUCGCCAAGGCUCUGAGUGACGCCUUCAAAAAAAUCUUCGUGCUCCUUGUUGAUGAGCUCCUCUAGGGUUUUGGGUGGAUCGGGCUGUUUGGGGCUGGUCGACAUGGCUUCAGGCGCAGCGGAGAUCGACUGCUCUGAUACCAAAUUGUCACGUGAUUGGGGAAUUUGGGAACUAGAGGAAGAUCGCAGGAAGUAGGGGUGCUCUACGGGAGGACGAGGCUUGUAACCUCGUCGCCCCGUGGCAGGCCUGGGCGC
rnacentral:lncRNA from 1 species